CUGCUGCCUUCCGUAGGAGUUUGGACCGUGUCUCAGUUCCAAUGUGGGGGACCUUCCCCUCAGAACCCCUACUGAUCGUCGCCCCGGUGGGCCGUUACCCCGCCGGCAAGCUAAUCAGACGCAUCCCCAUCCUUUACCGGCCGAAGCCUUUGGUCAUGAAAAUAUGCAUCAACAUGACAACAUACGGUAUUAAUCCGCCUUUCGACGGGCUGUCCCAUAGUAAAGGGCAGGUUGGAUACGCGUUACUCACCCGUGCGCCGGUCGCCAUCAA
rnacentral:rRNA from 1 species